AAGACCUUGUGCUUUUGGAGCGGCCGAUGCCUGAUUAGCUAGUUGGUGGGGUAAAGGCCUACCAAGGCGACGAUCAGUAGUUGGUCUGAGAGGACGACCAGCCACACUGGGACUGAGACACGGCCCAGACUCCUACGGGAGGCAGCAGUGGGGAAUUUUGGACAAUGGGCGAAAGCCUGAUCCAGCAAUGCCGCGUGAGUGAAGAAGGCCUUCGGGUUGUAAAGCUCUUUCAGUCGAGAAGAAAAGGUUGUGACUAAUAAUCACAACUUAUGACGGUAUCGACAGAAGAAGCACCGGCUAACUACGUGCCAGCAGCCGCGGUAAUACGUAGGGUGCAAGCGUUAAUCGGAAUUACUGGGCGUAAAGGGUGCGCAGGCGGCUCUGUAAGUCAGAUGUGAAAUCCCCGGGCUUAACCUGGGAAUU
rnacentral:rRNA from 1 species